CAAGAAAAGCUGCUGCCACUCCCUAGAAGGGAUUUGUUGCUUUCUUUCCAACUCCUGUGGCUGUCACUGAACAGGUGAGGUGCCACCAGGAAAGCAGAUUUUGAUCCCAGUGAUGGCAGGGAAGAUCGGGGCUGCAGCAGAGGAGGAAAGAGCAAGGACAGCCCAGUUGAUCCCUGAGGCUGGAAUUCAGCUGCUCUAAUUUUGGUAACUUGAGGAAGCCUGAGUAAGUCUGCCUGGGAUUUCCCCAUCCCUGCCUCCUGCAAAAAGCCUGUCCAGGAACCCAGGCCUGGGAAAAGACCACCUGGAAAACCUCCCCUGAGGAUAAGCUGGUCCUUGGCUUCAAGGUUGUUUCUGCUCUGUCCAAGUGAAGAAGUGCCUUGGGUGUGCUCCAGCUGUUCUGGAUGAUGGAAUGAGCAUUUCUGCCCCUCCCUGCAGAUCCUGCAGCACAGACAGCACAAACAGCUCUGCAUUCCUGGGAGGCUCGAGGUCAGAACACGAUGCUGAGUGUUGCAGAACUCCCUGGCCUGACGCGACCUGGUGUACUCAGCUCCAUCUGUGCGUGGCCUCCACCACUUCCAGCUGCAAAAGGCACUCCUUGGUGCUUCCUUCUGCCAAACAUCCAGCACUCCCAGCUCUGAGCCCUGCUCCCAAUGCAGCCACAGCUCCGUUUUUGUCUUUGGUGGCCAGUGAAAAGCACUGAGGUGUCUGGCUGAGAAAGGGUGGGUGAAAUUCAAUGCUUUGGAUCCAGCUCAACAGGUGUUUUUGUUUCUCCUUGCUCCUGGUGGGCAGAUCUGCUGCUUGCAGGGCUGAUUCAUCUCCUCACCUGAAGAGGAUCCAGUGACCUGCUUGGACAAGCUCAGCUGGGAGUUAUAAAUGCAUCCCUGUGUUACACUGGCAUGGCAAGAGUGGGUAACAGGGGGUGGAAAUAGCAACAGGAUUUGUCACUGCAGGUCACCCCCCUCUUCCUGGGGCUCCCUCUGAGGCUGGGUCUGUACUUGCCUCCCUCCAGCUGGGAGUUGGGCAAUGCUGGGACAUGGAUUAGGGGGGUGGGGGGUGGAACUUCACUGGAAACCUCUACGUGAUGAACAGCAGGUGAUGCCACUGGUGCCAGAGCUGGAGGCACCCCCUGGGUGCUGUGCCUCAGGAGCUGCCUGUUUCCUGCACCAGGGUGACACAGCCCAGGUGAUGGGACAGCUGGAAGAAGCUGAUUUGAUCUGUCUUCCUCCUUGGAUAUGAUCCUGAUUGAA